GAUGAAGAACGCAGCGAAAUGCGAUAAGUAAUGUGAAUUGCAGAAUUCAGUGAAUCAUCGAAUCUUUGAACGCACAUUGCGCCCGCCAGUAUUCUGGCGGGCAUGCCUGUUCGAGCGUCAUUUCAACCAUCAAGCCCCCGGCUUGUGUUGGGGACCUGCGGCUGCCGCAGGCCCUGAAAACCAGUGGCGGGCUCGCUAGUCACUCCGAGCGUAGUAAUACAUCUCGCUCAGGGCGUGCGGCGGGCUCCUGCCGUGAAACCCCCCACUGUAACCCCAAAGGUUGACCUCGGAUCAGGUAGGAAUACCCGCUGAACUUAAGCAUAUCAAUAAGCGGAGGA
rnacentral:misc_RNA from 1 species